rnacentral:tRNA from 1 species
AUUUAAGUAGUUUAAUUAAAAUAUUAAUUUGUGGGAUUAAUGAUAUAAGUUUUUAUCUUAGAUA